rnacentral:rRNA from 1 species
CAUCUGGCAUGGGCGCAGCCUGACCGCCUGCCGCGUGAGUGAUGAAGGCCUUAGGGUUGUAAAGCUCUUUUGCCGGGGACGAUAAUGACGGUACCCGGAGAAUAAGCCCCGGCUAACUUCGUGCCAGCAGCCGCGGUAAUACGAAGGGGACUAGCGUUGUUCGGAAUCACUGGGCGUAAAGCGCACGUAGGCGGAUUUGUAAGUCAGGGGUGAAAUCCCGGGGCUCAACCUCGGAACUGCCUUUGAUACUGCGGAUCUCGAGUCCGAUAGAGGUGAGUGGAAUUCCUAGUGUAGAGGUGAAAUUCGUAGAUAUUAGGAAGAACACCGGUGGCGAAGGCGGCUCACUGGAUCGGUACUGACGCCGAGGUGCGAAAG